rnacentral:rRNA from 1 species
GACGAACGCUGGCGGCGUGCUUAACACAUGCAAGUCGAACGGAAAGGCCCUGCUUUUGUGGGGUGCUCGAGUGGCGAACGGGUGAGUAACACGUGAGUAACCUGCCCUUGACUUUGGGAUAACUUCAGGAAACUGGGGCUAAUACCGGAUAGGAGCUCUUGCUGCAUGGUGGGGGUUUGAAAGUUUCGGCGGUUGGGGAUGGACUCGCGGCUUAUCAGCUUGUUGGUGGGGUAGUGGCUUACCAAGGCUUUGACGGGUAGCCGGCCUGAGAGGGUGACCGGCCACAUUGGGACUGAGAUACGGCCCAGACUCCAACGGGAGGCAGCAGUGGGGAAUAGUGCACAAUGGGCGGAAGCAUGAUGCAGCAACGCCGCGUGCGGGAUGACGGUCUUCGGGUUGUAACCCGCUUUAGCCUGUGACGCAGAGUGAGUGACGGUAAUGGGUAAAGAAGCACCGGCUAACUACGUG